AUACGUAGGGAGCGAGCGUUAUCCGGAUUCAUUGGGCGUAAAGCGCGCGUAGGCGGCUCGGGAAGCGGAACCUCUAACCUUGGGGCUCAACCUCAAGCCGGGUUCCGAACUCCCGGGCUCGAGUCAGGUAGGGGCAGGCGGAAUUCCCGGUGUAGCGGUGAAAUGCGCAGAUAUCGGGAGGAACACCGAGGGCGAAGGCAGCCUGCUGGGCCUAAAGACGAACGCUGAGGUGAGAAAGCGGGGGGAGCGAACAGGAUUAGAUCCCCUGGUAGUCCACGCCGUAAACGAUGGGCGCUGGGUGUGGGGGAGCGGAUCCCCCGUGCCGCAGCUAACGCAUUAAGCGCCCCGCCUGGGGAGUACGGCCGCAAGGCUAAAACUCAAAGGAAUUGACGGGG
rnacentral:rRNA from 1 species